rnacentral:lncRNA from 1 species
CUGGUCUCUUGAGCUUUUAUGAUCAUUUUAUUAGACAAGGGGACUUCCUGGCUGUGCUUCAGUGGCGGGUGACUGAAUUUAGUCUUCUCCGCAGCACGGUGAUAGUAGUAAUGCGAAGUUUAAUGAGCACCUGCAAAGCUGUGUAGCAGCAGGAAGAAGAAAUAUCCCUGCUUGUCCAUCUUGUCCUCCUGAUCUUCCUGUGCUAGGACUGAGGUGAUUUUGCUAGAAAGGGAGACUGGUAAGCUUCUGACAUCACAGCAACGGGUGACAAUUUCAGAUUGUACUGCCCUGUGCAGGCUCGUGGGCUCUUGACAGUGAUGCCAGCCCUCCAGAGUGGGGCUGGGAGAAAUGCCAG